rnacentral:rRNA from 1 species
GGUUAAGUUAUUAAGAGCAUGAGGUGGAUGCCUGGGCUCUGGAAGGCGAUGAAGGGCGUGGUAAGCUGCGAAAAGCGUCGGUGAGGAGCAAACAUCCGUAGAUCCGGCGAUUCCCGAAUGGGACAACCCGACGAAAGUCAUGUUUCGUCAUCCCCGUCUGAACACAUAGGACGGGUGAAGCCAACCCGGGGAACUGAAACAUCUAAGUACCCGGAGGAAAAGAGAACAACCGUUAUUCCCCUAGUAGCGGCGAGCGAACGGGGAGCAGCCUAAACUGGUAUCGUGUAAGUUUGCAGACGUUGCGAUACCGGGGUUGCGGGACUCUACAGGCUGACUGCAAUAAGCCAGGGAGUUACAAAAUUCAUUUAUAGCCGAAUCGUACUGGAAAGUCGAACCAUAGGAGGUGACAGUCCCGUAGGCGAAAUAGAUGAAUCUCCCGUAGAAGUUCCCAAGUAGCACGGGACACGAGAAACCCUGUGUGAAUCUGGCAGGACCAUCUGCCAAGGCUAAAUACUCUCCAGAGACCGAUAGUGUACCAGUACCGUGAGGGAAAGGUGAAAAGAACCCCUGUGAGGGGAGUGAAAUAGUACCUGAAACCUCAUGCUUACAAGCAGUGGGAGCCUGAAUACCUGAUUUCGGUCAGGUUCUAGGGUGACCGCGUACCUUUUGCAUAAUGGGCCAGCGAGUUGCUCGUCAUUGGCAAGGUUAAGGAGUUAAGCUCCCGAGCCGUAGCGAAAGCAAGUCUUAAUAGGGCGAUUUAGUCAGUGGCGGCAGACGCGAAACCGGGUGAUCUAUCCAUGGCCAGGUUGAAGCGUAGGUAAAACUACGUGGAGGACCGAACCAGUAGACGUUGAAAAGUCUUUGGAUGAGCUGUGGAUAGGGGUGAAAGGCCAAUCAAACCCGGAGAUAGCUCGUACUCCCCGAAAUGUUUUUAGGAACAGCCUCAUGAUAGUCUUCCGGAGGUAGAGCACUGACAGGGCUAGGGGCCCCACAAGGUUACCAACCCCUUUCAAACUCCGAAUGCCGGUUGUACGUUUCAUGGGAGUGAGGGUGCGUGAGAUAAGUUGCGUGCCCGAGAGGGAAACAACCCAGACCGACGGCUAAGGUCCCCAAGUGCGAUUUAAGUGAUGAAAGGAUGUGAAGUCGCGCAGACAACUGGGAGGUUGGCUUAGAAGCAGCCAUUCCUUUAAAGAGUGCGUAAUAGCUCACCAGUCAAGUAAUUUUGCGCCGAUAAUUCUCGGGACUAAAAUCGCCACCGAAGCCACGGUUCCAAAUUCAUUUUGGAAGGUAGGGGAGCAUUCCGUUUACCGUUGAAGGUGUACUGUAAGGUAUGCUGGAGGACACGGAAAAGACCAUGCUGGCAUGAGUAACGAUAAAACAGGUGAGAAACCUGUUCACCGAAAGCCUAAGGGUUCCUGAGUAAAGUUAAUCUGCCCAGGGUUAGUCGGCCCCUAAGUCGAGGCCGAAAGGCGUAGACGAUGGAAAACAGGCUAAUAUUCCUGUACCGGUGACAGCGCGUUAUACCUAUGGGGUGACGCAGAAGUGAAAGGCCCGCCACGGGUUGGAUCGUGGUCUAAGGAUGUAGGCGGCGAGAGUAGGCAAAUCCGCUCUUGCUUAACGCUGAGAUCUGAAUGGGAGCCGUAAGGCAUAAACGGGCCCUAAUCCUGCUGCCAAGAAAAACCUCUAUGGAAGUUCUGUCGCCGACCGUACCGUAAACCGACACAGGUAGGCGGGGAGAGUAUCCUAAGGUGCUCGAGAGAACCGUGGUUAAGGAACUCGGCAAACUAGCUCCGUAACUUCGGGAGAAGGAGCGCCUCCGGCGGUGAGUCACUUCGCGUGAUGAGCUUCUGGAGGCCGCAGAGAAAUGGCCCAAGCGACUGUUUACUAAAAACACAGGUCUCUGCUAAGUCGUAAGACGACGUAUAGGGACUGACACCUGCCCGGUGCCGGAAGGUUAAGGGAAUGUGUCAUCCGUCUUCGGACGGAGAAGCACUGAACCGAAGCCCCGGUAAACGGCGGCCGUAACUAUAACGGUCCUAAGGUAGCGAAAUUCCUUGUCGGGUAAGUUCCGACCUGCACGAAUGGUGUAACGAUUUGGGCGCUGUCUCAACCACGGACUCGGUGAAAUUGAAUUCUCGGUGAAGAUGCCGGGUACCCGCGGCCGGACGGAAAGACCCCGUGGACCUUUACUACAGCUUGAUAUUGAAUUUUAGCUUAGCAUGUGUAGCAUAGGUGGGAGGCUUUGAAGCGGUGACGCUAGUCAUCGUGGAGCCAUCGUUGAAAUACCACCCUUGUUCUGUUGGAAUUCUAACUUGAUCCUUUAGCAGGUUUGAGGACAGUGUCAGGUGGGUAGUUUGACUGGGGCGGUCGCCUCCUAAAGAGUAACGGAGGCGCCCUAAGGUUCCCUCAGUAUGGUCGGUAAUCAUACGUAGAGUGUAAAGGCAUAAGGGAGCUUAACUGCGAGUCAGACAAGACGAGCAGGUGCGAAAGCAGGGCUUAGUGAUCCGGCGGUAGAGAAUGGAAUUGCCGUCGCUCAACGGAUAAAAGGUACCCCGGGGAUAACAGGCUUAUCGCCCCCAAGAGUUCAUAUCGACGGGGCGGUUUGGCACCUCGAUGUCGGCCCGUCGCAUCCUGGGGCUGGAGAAGGUCCCAAGGGUUUGGCUGUUCGCCAAUUAAAGCGGCACGCGAGCUGGGUUUAGAACGUCGUGAGACAGUUCGGUCCCUAUCCGCCGUGGGCGCACGUGACUUGAGAGGAUCUGUUCCCAGUACGAGAGGACCGGAAUGGACGAACCUCUGGUGUACCGGUUGUUGCGCCAGCAGCACCGCCGGGUAGCUAUGUUCGGAUCGGAUAAGCGCUGAAAGCAUCUAAGUGCGAAACCGACCUCAAGAUUAGGUCACGCUUCUGUAAAGACUAAAGGCACGUUCGAGAUCAGGACGUUGAUAGGCAACAGGUGUAAGCACAGUAAUGUGUUCAGCCGAGUUGUACUAAUUAGCCGUGAGACUUACCGAU